rnacentral:rRNA from 1 species
AUUGAACGCUGGCGGCAGGCCUAACACAUGCAAGUCGAGCGGAGCGGCGGACGGGUGAGUAAUGCCUAGGAAUCUGCCUGGUAGUGGGGGAUAACGUCCGGAAACGGGCGCUAAUACCGCAUACUAUCAGAUGAGCCUAGGUCGGAUUAGCUAGUUGGUGGGGUAAAGGCCUACCAAGGCGACGAUCCGUAACUGGUCUGAGAGGAUGAUCAGUCACACGGGAACUUAGACACGGUCACGGGUCCUGAGGGAUGUAGCAGAGGGGAAUAUUGGACAAUGGGGGAAAGGAUGGUCCAGCCGUGGCGAGUAUGUUAAGAAGGUGUGCGGAUUGUAAUGAACUUUAAGUUGGGAGGCGGUACCAGCAGAAUAAGCACCGGCUAACUUCGUGCCAGCAGCAGAGGUAAUAC